rnacentral:lncRNA from 1 species
AAUUUUAAAAGUCUCAUUUAAGUAUUUCUUUUGGUUUUCCUUGUAUAAAUAUAGCUAACUUUUAAACAUUUCUUUUCCGGCUUGUGUUGUUUGCUUUGGACCCUUCAGCACCUAUUUUUAAACGUUAAGCAUUCCCCAGUCAGCAUGAAAGUUUUACUGUUAGUUUUAUUUUGUUCCUAUAAUUUUGAUUCCCCCCAGAAACUGCCACAGAUGAAAUCAAGCCAAUAGAAUUGAAAGCAAAGAUCACCUGGUGGCCAUGAAGCCGACCAUCCUUAGGCAGAAACUCCUUACCUGAGGAAUUUAGAGAUUACAAUGAUUCCACCUACAGAUGAUUAUGUAAUCCCAAUACCAGCCUGCAACAGCAACUUCCACAUAUAUGGGGCCUCUUGAUGGAAUCCGGUGUCUCCUGUCCCCACGCCAUCUGCAAUCAAUUGUGACUGCACUGACCUGCAUAAAAUUCACACGUUCUGAGAGAAAAGCAGUAUUUUUAGGACAAAGGAGAACAAAUCAGGAGCGUGAGAAAGGAAACUCUGCUGUCCCUGGACAACCUCCUCCUGAUUAGUCUGGCAUGAAAGCAAGGGAAAGCCAUCAAGAAAGUAACAGAAAACUCACAGGAUGGACAAAAUAUUUGUAAUUCAUAUAUCUGACAAGGGAUUUGUAUCCAGAGUGUAUA